AGUCGUAACAAGGUCUCCGUAGGGGGGCCUGCGGAGGGAUCAUUACACAAUAAACAUAUGAAGGCUGCACCGCCAACAGGCGGCAAGGCUGGAGUAUUUUAUUACCCUUGUCUUUUGCGCACUUGUUGUUUCCUGGGCGGGUUCGCCCGCCUCCAGGACCACAUGAUAAACCUUUUUUAUGCAGUUGCAAUCAGCGUCAGUACAACAAAUGUAAAUCAUUUACAACUUUCAACAACGGAUCUCUUGGUUCUGGCAUCGAUGAAGAACGCAGCGAAAUGCGAUACGUAGUGUGAAUUGCAGAAUUCAGUGAAUCAUCGAAUCUUUGAACGCACAUUGCGCCCUUUGGUAUUCCAAAGGGCAUGCCUGUUCGAGCGUCAUUUGUACCCUCAAGCUUUGCUUGGUGUUGGGCGUUUUUUGUCUUUGGUUUUGUCCAAAGACUCGCCUUAAAACGAUUGGCAGCCGGCCUACUGGUUUCGCAGCGCAGCACAUUUUUGCGCUUGCAAUCAGCAAAAGAGGACGGCACUCCAUCAAGACUCUAUAUCACUUUUGACCUCGGAUCAGGUAGGGAUACCCGCUGAACUUAAGCAUAUCUAAACCCG
rnacentral:rRNA from 1 species